UACGUAGGGGGCAAGCGUUUGUCCGGAAUCAUUGGGCGUAAAGAGCGUGUAGGCGGCUCGAUAAGUCUGCUGUGAAAGUCCAGGGCUCAACCCUGGAAGGCCGGUGGAAACUGUCGGGCUAGAGUCCGGAAGAGGCGAGUGGAAUCCCGGUGUAGCGGUGAAAUGCGCAGAUAUCGGGAGGAACACCAAUGGCGAAGGCAGCUCGCUGGGACGGUACUGACGCUGAGACGCGAAAGCGUGGGGAGCAAACAGG
rnacentral:rRNA from 1 species